rnacentral:sRNA from 1 species
AAUUAUUUAUCAUUUAUUUGAUGCCUUUACAAAAUAUAGACAAGACUACAAGAAACAGAAACAAGAAGAAUUUAAGCACAUAGCAGUAUUUCCCUGCAAGAUGAAAAUCCUCCCUCAGUACAUUUUUAAUUCUCGAGAUCCGAUAGUGAUGGGGGUGACGGUGGAAGCAGGUCAGGUGAAACAGGGGACACCCAUGUGUGUCCCAAGCAAAAAUUUUGUUGACAUCGGAAUAGUAACAAGUAUUGAAAUAAAUCAUAAACAAGUGGAUGUUGCAAAAAAAGGACAAGAAGUCUGUGUAAAAAUAGAACCUAUCCCUGGUGAGUCGCCCAAAAUGUUUGGAAGACAUUUUGAAGCUACAGACAUUCUUGUUAGUAAGGUAAGUAUUUAAGCAAAAGUGGAACACUUUAAGAAACAGGGAAUCACUCUUCUUGGGUCACCUGUACCUAGUGGCUCCUUGGGCUUCAGUUUGAUUGUAGAAUCUGAUGGGACUGGAUCCCCCAUUAGGGCUUGACCUCUAGCUGGGCCUUGUCUGUUGAGGAAGUUGCUCCAUCAGGAAAGCAGCACCAACAGAGAAAGCUAGGACUUUUAGGUCCCCUUGUGUCUGACAUGCAAACCGGAUGUGAUUUUGGAAUUCUACUCCCUUAGGCAGGCAAGCCCUGUUUUUU